rnacentral:rRNA from 1 species
UGGGGAAUAUUGCACAAUGGGCGCAAGCCUGAUGCAGCAACGCCGCGUGAACGAUGAAGGUCUUCGGAUCGUAAAGUUCUGUUGCAGGGGAAGAUAAUGACGGUACCCUGUGAGGAAGCCCCGGCUAACUACGUGCCAGCAGCCGCGGUAAUACGUAGGGGGCUAGCGUUAUCCGGAUUUACUGGGCGUAAAGGGUGCGUAGGUGGUCUUUCAAGUCGGUGGUUAAAGGCUACGGCUCAACCGUAGUUAGCCUCCGAAACUGGAAGACUUGAGUGCAGGAGAGGAAAGUGGAAUUCCCAGUGUAGCGGUGAAAUGCGUAGAUAUUGGGAGGAAAACCAGUAGCGAAGGCGGCUUUCUGGACUGCAACUGACACUGAGGCACGAAAGCGUGGGUAGCAAACAGG